rnacentral:rRNA from 1 species
GACGAACGCUGGCGGCGUGCCUAAUACAUGCAAGUAGGACGCACAGUUUAUACCGUAGCUUGCUACACCAUAGACUGUGAGUUGCGAACGGGUGAGUAACGCGUAGGUAACCUGCCUAUUAGAGGGGGAUAACUAUUGGAAACGAUAGCUAAUACCGCAUAACAGUAUGUAACACAUGUUAGAUGCUUGAAAGAUGCAAUUGCAUCGCUAGUAGAUGGACCUGCGUUGUAUUAGCUAGUAGGUAGGGUAAAGGCCUACCUAGGCAACGAUACAUAGCCGACCUGAGAGGGUGAUCGGCCACACUGGGACUGAGACACGGCCCAGACUCCUACGGGAGGCAGCAGUAGGGAAUCUUCGGCAAUGGGGGGAACCCUGACCGAGCAACGCCGCGUGAGUGAAGAAGGUUUUCGGAUCGUAAAGCUCUGUUGUUAAGGAAGAACGAGUGUGAGAAUGGAAAGCUCAUACUGUGACGGUACU